GACGAACUGUGCAAACGUUAUUCGGAAUCACUGGGCUUGAAGAGUGCGUAGGCGGUUUCGUAAGUAGGGUGUGAAAGCCCCGGGCUUAACCUGGGAAUGGCAUUUGGGACUGCAAGGCUUGAGUUUGGCAGAGGAGACUGGAAUUCCUGGUGUGAGCAGUGAAAUGCGUAGAUAUCAGGAGGAAUACCGAUGGCGAAGGCAGGUCUCUGGGCUAUAACUGACGCUCAUGCACGAAAAGCGUGGGGAGCAAACAGG
rnacentral:rRNA from 1 species